rnacentral:lncRNA from 1 species
UGAACAUAAAGAGGAAGAAACUGAGAGCAGAUGUCUGUGUAGUAGAGCAGGCGGAUUCAAGUUGGCCGUCCUCCCUCAAUCGAGCUCCUCCUCCCACCCCCCUUCGGCAGCCUAGGGGACUGAGCUGGAAGGUACCGUCUGGUUUCUGAUAGGGAAAGGUCAAGGGGAGGGGACAUCUCCCUAAACACGGACGUUAGCUGAGAAAACUAGGACUCGCACGCUGGGACGCAUCUGCACUGCUGAAGAGGUGCCAGGCCGAAGCCAGAGGCAGCCCAUAAAGGCUGUGUCUCUGACCUGGAGAUGUGGGACUAGCAUUUCAAGCUCUCGCUUGGUUCCUAAUGGGUCCUGGGCUUCUAUGGGAAAUUCUCCCCCACGGAAAGCCUUUUGACUUCCUCGAAGCUCUUUGUAGUGGAUUGCUCACAUGUCCUGGAGAAAGACCAACCAAAGAGACUGGAUGAUAGGCACUAAAUUGGUGAUAGGUUGGGAGACGUGCACGGAUGUUUCUGAGUAGAGUGUAUAUGUGUUCUGAGUAUGAGUGAUGGAGUGUGUGAGUGACCAUGUAUGUGUUGUACCUGCCUGCAGAACCAUCAGGUUUCCUUAAGUAGCA